rnacentral:lncRNA from 1 species
CCGGAACUCACUUUGCAGACCAGGCUGGUCUUGAAUUCAUAGAGAUUCAUCUGCUUCUUGAAUGUUGGGACUGAAGGAUGCGCCGUCAUACCCAGCUCACCUGAGAGUUUUUAACAUCUAGAAUAAGCUGGUUGACCAUGUUACUAACUAGGUAAUGUUCCCUCCAAGGAUAGAGUUGAUUUCAACAAUUCUCAGUUUCUUUCCCUGGAGUUAGUCACAGCUCCAUCUGGGUAGUGGGUUCCCAUUUUUGCUGAUGUUUUGUUUAACUUUGGUAUUCUUCUGAUGCUGCCCCCUCCCAUUUAUAAAGAACAGCUCUGUACUCCCCCAAAUCUAAGUAUGUCUUUAAAAUCAGAGUUGUUGAGGAUGCUGUUUCCCUAUGUGGGCACAGUGAACCAUACCACCCUUCAACACUAAGGGAGGAAACAGUAUCUUUUUCUUGGGUGUGAGAUGGCUUCAUUACAGGCCAGGCUGGUCUGGAGCUUGCUGUAUAGCCUGUGACUGACAUACAGACAGGAACUCAGAAUCCUCUUUCCUCCGCUUCCUAAUGCUGGCUGCCAUUAAAGUGCAUGCCAUCAGACCCAGCUGUAAACUACUGAAUAGGUAAGAGGGCUUAAUACCUUAGUAAUAGAACACAGAUUUUUUUUUUUCCUGCCAGGAGAUAAAUGGCCACAUUGAACCUGCGUAUUAGAUAUUUGUUCAGGACUAAACACAGCACAUGUCCACAAGACAGAGCUGCACUCCAGCUCUGGCUGGCUCUCGGUGAGGAAUGCACUUGCAUCCUGGAGUCAAUCCUAAUACAGUCCACCAGACACCGUACUCAGGCACCGUAAGCGUCCUUAAGUCCUAGAAGAACGGAAUUUGAAAGUGUGUCUUGUAGCCAGCUAUACAGCAGACUGUGGGGAGAACAGGGAUGGAUAGAGUUCUGGUAUAAUAGGUUAGAAACAUCCCAGGGUCUCUCUUGACAUCUGGCUGACUUCCUGUAAAAGGUUUCUUCUGUUUUUUUCUUAUCUUCCCAGGCAGGAUGUACUUCUGAACUGCACGACCCUGCCAGGCAUACCCUUGCUGUACUGUGUGGUCUGUGCUGAUACCCAUCUUCCUGGACCUCUCUCUCUCGAAAGUGGUCUGUAUUGGCCGUGGAGGCUUGCUGGGAAUCCUAAGUGAGACUUUGCUCUUCGCGUCAACCUCCCGGAGUCUCUGUGUGUAGACUAAGCGCAGUGACCGUUUCUUAGUUUUUUUUUUUGUUUGUUUGUUUUUUUUGUUUUUCACUUGGUCCACCGGAGCUGCGCUGCUUCAUCCCUGCUCUGUCUACACUCCCCGGCUUGAGCUACCCUGAUUCUUGCCUUUCCUCCACAGGCACACUUUCUCUUCUACUCUGUAAACAUGAGAUGCUCUGGAUUUCUUGUUUAGGUUUUUGUGUUAUCCUCCGUGAUGAUUUCAUCCAGGCCUGCAGCUGUGAAGAUCUUCUUUCCAGUAGCCACUCCCAAGUUCAUAGGCCAGUGCAGGCCAGGGCUCUCUCUCCAGAACUGAAUGGUUUCUCAGGACAGAGCCCAGCUUAAGAGAAUCUUGGACAUCAUUUAGUUCAAGCUCCCGCUAACAUCAACCAUCUCUGAAGCUUCUUGAAUAGAGGAUCAGCCCCAGCUGAAAUCCACCUUCAGUCAUGGAGAACUGGAUACCUGGCCCACCCUCACCCAGGAGGUGGUAAGAGUUCUUUACACCCCGCCGUCUGUCUUACCAAACCAUGAGAGUCGUACUCAGGAACUAAAGUUGACAUUUGACUCCCCAGGUUUCCACAGCUAAGCUAUCUCAGUGGUUCCUGGAUUCCUUACCAACUUGGUCAUAUUCCUCAAACACAUUUGAAAUAAAAGUGUCAGACAGUGGUGGCCCACACCUUUAAUUCCAGCACUUGGGAGGCAAAAACAGUGAGAUCUCUGUUAGUUUGAGGCCAGCCUGGCCCACAGAUCAUGUUCUAGGAUAGCCAGGGCUAUACACAGAAAACCUGUUUAAAAAUACAAAACAAAACAAAAAAUACAAGUAUCCUUUUUAAGAUCCUUCCCAGGGGAACACCACAAUACUGCAGAGGUCUGGCCAAAGUAGCCAAGGUUACCAUGGGUAUGUUCAACAGUGUAUCCCAGAGUGUUUUGUUUCUUAGCAGUUAGAUGGUACAGAGUCUCUGGCCACCAAAUCUGAGACAUCUUUUUCCCCUUCCU